UACGUAGGAUGCAAGCGUUGUCCGGAAUUAUUGGGCGUAAAGAGCGCGCAGGCGGUCUAUCAAGUCAGAUGUGAAAUAUCCCGGCUUAACCGGGAGGGGUCAUUUGAAACUGGUAGACUAGAGUACAGCAGAGGAUAGCGGAAUUCCCGGUGUAGUGGUGAAAUGCGUAGAUAUCGGGAGGAACACCAGUGGCGAAGGCGGCUAUCUGGGCUGAAACUGACGCUGAGGCGCGAAAGCGUGGGGAGCGAACAGG
rnacentral:rRNA from 1 species